GUGUCAGAUGGUUGUCAGAUGGUGUAUGAUGGUCGAAGUGUGUCAGAUGGUUGUCGGAUGGUGUAUGAUGGUGUAGGGUGGUUAUACAGGGAAGGGUUGUCAGAUGGUGAAGAUGGUACAGAUGGUGUAUGAUGGUCGAAGUAUGUCAGAUGGUUGUCAGAUGGUGUAUGAUGGUGUAUGAUGGUCGAAGUGUGUCAGAUGGUUUUCAGAUGGUGUAUGAUGGUGUAGGGUGGUUAUACAGGGAAGGGUUGUCAGAUGGUGAAGAUGAUACAGAUGGUGUAUGAUGGUCGAAGUGUGUCAGAUGGUUGUCAGAUGGUGUAUGAUGGUGUAUGAUGGUCGAAAUGUGUCAGAUGGUUGUCAGAUGGUGUAUGAUGGUGUAUGAUGGUCGAAGUGUGUCAGAUGGUUGUCAGAUGGUGUAUGAUGGCGUAGGGUGGUUAUACAAGGAAGGGUUGUCAGAUGGUGAAGAUGGUACAGAUGGUGUAUGAUGGUCGAAGUGUGUCAGAUGGUUGUCAGAUGGCGUAUGAUGGUCAGUAUGAUGGUCGAAGUGUGUCAGAUGGUUGUCAGAUGGUGUAUGAUGGUGUAGGGUGGUUAUACAGGGAAGGGUUGUCAGAUGGUGAAGAUGGUACAGAUGGUGUAUGAUGGUCGAAGUGUGUCAGAUGGUUGUCAGAUAGUGUAUGAUGGUGUAUGAUGGUCGGAGUGUGUCAGAUGGUUGUCAGAUGGUGCAUGAUGAUGUAGGGUGGUUAUACAGCGAAGGGUUGUCAGAUGGUGAAGAUGGUACAGAUGGUGUAUGAUGGUCGAAGUGUGUCAGAUGGUUGUCAGAUGGUGUAUGAUGGUGUAUGGUGGUUAUACAGGGAAGAGCUGUCAGAU